CCUUAGGUGUAGGUUGCAUAAAGAACCCAUCAGGAGGUAGGGGCGCAAAGCAGUCAGGAGGUUUGCCUAGAAGCAGUCGCCCUUGAAAGAGUGCGUAAUAGCUCACUGAUCGAGCGCUCUUGCACCAAAGAUGAACGGAACUAAGCGAUCUGCCGAUGCUGUGGGAUGUAAAAAUGCAUC
rnacentral:ncRNA from 1 species